GUCUGGAUUCGCAUAACGUCGGAUGAUGCAUGUAGCAAGAAAUUAUUGCCAAAACUCACGAUAAAUCCAAAGGGGCACAUCUCCAAGAAAAAACAUUGAAUCAUAAUUUCCUUGUUGAUAAACACAUCUAAACAAUAUGUCCUAAUUAUCUACAUCAGUGUUAUAUAUAGUUAGGAGUACGGUGUUAAAAAUCACGUACCGUUUCAAAUG
rnacentral:lncRNA from 1 species